AACGAACGCUGGCGGCAGGCCUAACACAUGCAAGUCGAACGCUGCAGCAAUGCAGAGUGGCAGACGGGUGAGUAACGCGUGGGAACCUUCCCAGUGGUACGGAAUAGCCCAGGGAAACUUGGGGUAAUACCGUAUAAGCCCCUAGGGGGAAAGAUUUAUCGCCAUUGGAUGGGCCCGCGUCGGAUUAGCUAGUUGGUGAGGUAACGGCUCACCAAGGCGACGAUCCGUAGCUGGUCUGAGAGGAUGAUCAGCCACACUGGGACUGAGACACGGCCCAGACUCCUACGGGAGGCAGCAGUGGGGAAUAUUGGACAAUGGGCGCAAGCCUGAUCCAGCCAUGCCGCGUGAGUGACGAAGGCCUUAGGGUUGUAAAGCUCUUUUGGCGGGGACGAUAAUGACGGUACCCGCAGAAUAAGCUCCGGCUAACUUCGUGCCAGCCGCCGCAGUAA
rnacentral:rRNA from 1 species